rnacentral:rRNA from 1 species
AUACGUAGGUGGCAAGCGUUGUCCGGAAUUAUUGGGCGUAAAGCGCAUGUAGGCGGUUUGGUAAGUCGGUCGUGAAAAUGCGGUGCUUAACGCCGUAUGGCGAUCGAAACUGCGGAACUUGAGCGCAGGAGAGGAAAGGGGAACUCCCAGUGUAGCGGUGAAAUGCGUAGAUAUUGGGAAGAACACCGGUGGCGAAGGCGCCUUUCUGGACUGUGUCUGACGCUCAGAUGCGAAAGCCAGGGUAGC